GGUGAAUGAAGAUGAGCGGCUCGCCGAGGCCCUCCCACAAAGUUUAGUUUUCAAUUCAAAUCCUCUGUGGGAAAUCGAGAGCAUAUUUCCCCAUUUUCCAUUCUCGUUUUAUUCUAUGGACAGGAACAUAUCAAGGCCAUGGUUCUUUGAAUUAAACUCAAUGCAUGAUUAAUGGAGGGUAGGGUCACUCUGGAUUUUUAAAGUUUAUAUCCUUAUUCUAGUUUCACGGCCUUGUUGGAAACUUACCCUGAAUAGUUUGAAGCAAAAAAGAUCUAUCAUUGAAUAGUUUUCCAACAUAAACUUGCAUGGUCUGUGGGGUUGUUGAUAUAUAGGCCAUUAUUUGUUAGAAAACCUUUCUUGCAGAGUUGACCUGAUGGAAGUUUUGGAAUCAAAAUCGACCAACCCAUCGAGUUAAUCAUCUUUUGAAAUAUGAUCUGCAUCAUUAUGGUUAACCACCACAUUAUGGUGAAGGUCUUGCCAUGUCGGUGCUUCCAAUUGACAUUGUUCUCAUGAAGGGUCAAUAUACUCGAGUUGGUGGCUCAAAAUUAUGUAUUCCGCCUUCUGCUAAGUCUGGAAAGAAAUUUCAUGGAUGCUAUGGAGCUAAGUACAUUUGCAAAUGUUUUUCCCAAGGUUGAAGUUGUUAAGAAAACUCUACACGUAUACGUGCAUCCUGGAUGUCAUACUUUCAUGCCCCUAGUUGCUUCUUGUUUUCUAACUCAGAUAUACUAAUAUUCUGAUAUAGAAGACAUGUUCGGUUUGCUUGUGAGUUGCUCCAGACAGAGAUCUAAUGGAAGCUGUGAGGAUGAUGAACAUUGUUCUAGUUCCGAUGAGCCCAACGAUACGGAGGACAAAUCAACAGAGAGCGAGGAAGAAGAAACGGACUACCAAAUCGCCCUCAUUCGUUCCUUCUCAGAAGAUGGUCAAGGU